UACGUAGGGGGCAAGCGUUGUCCGGAUUUAUUGGGCGUAAAGAGCGUGUAGGCGGCCAGAUAGGUCCGUUGUGAAAACUCGAGGCUCAACCUCGAGACGCCGAUGGAAACCAUUUGGCUAGAGUCCGGAAGAGGAGAGUGGAAUUCCUGGUGUAGCGGUGAAAUGCGCAGAUAUCAGGAGGAACACCAAUGGCGAAGGCAGCUCGCUGGGACGGUACUGACGCUGAGGCGCGAAAGCGUGGGGAGCAAACAGG
rnacentral:rRNA from 1 species